GUCGAGCGAACGGACGAGAAGCUUGCUUCUCUGAUGUUAGCGGCGGACGGGUGAGUAACACGUGGAUAACCUACCUAUAAGACUGGGAUAACUUCGGGAAACCGGAGCUAAUACCGGAUAAUAUUUUGAACCGCAUGGUUCAAAAGUGAAAGACGGUCUUGCUGUCACUUAUAGAUGGAUCCGCGCUGCAUUAGCUAGUUGGUAAGGUAACGGCUUACCAAGGCAACGAUGCAUAGCCGACCUGAGAGGGUGAUCGGCCACACUGGAACUGAGACACGGUCCAGACUCCUACGGGAGGCAGCAGUAGGGAAUCUUCCGCAAUGGGCGAAAGCCUGACGGAGCAACGCCGCGUGAGUGAUGAAGGUCUUCGGAUCGUAAAACUCUGUUAUUAGGGAAGAACAUAUGUGUAAGUAACUGUGCACAUCUUGACGGUACCUAAUCAGAAAGCCACGGCUAACUACGUGCCAGCAGCCGCGGUAAUACGUAGGUGGCAAGCGUUAUCCGGAAUUAUUGGGCGUAAAGCGCGCGUAGGCGGUUUUUUAAGUCUGAUGUGAAAGCCCACGGCUCAACCGUGGAGGGUCAUUGGAAACUGGAAAACUUGAGUGCAGAAGAGGAAAGUGGAAUUCCAUGUGUAGCGGUGAAAUGCGCAGAGAUAUGGAGGAACACCAGUGGCGAAGGCGACUUUCUGGUCUGUAACUGACGCUGAUGUGCGAAAGCGUGGGGAUCAAACAGGAUUAGAUACCCUGGUAGUCCACGCCGUA
rnacentral:rRNA from 1 species